UAUCAGUGAAUCAGCUCCAGGUAC
rnacentral:siRNA from 1 species